GGGACCAAUCUUCUCAAAGUCUGACUGAGGGGAGAGCGGGGAGGGCCGGAUCCAAGAGAUGGACAACCCCUCCUCAGAGACACGGGUAAAAGUAGCACUUCCAACUCCAGCUACUGCCAUUCAGCAUCGGUUGAGACCAGGGGACUGGGUGCUCAUAAAAGAUCACAGACGGAAGCACUGGAAGCAAAGACGCUACAUAGGCCCUUUCCAGAUCCUCCUGACAACAGAGACCGCAGUGAAGGUGGCUGAGAGAGUACCUUGGAUCCACGCCAGCCACUGCAAACAGAUUCCGGGUCCACAGGAGGGAGCUAACUGAGGGGUAAGGGUGAAAUAGCGCCUUCCUCCAACAGUAGCGUGCCAAGCUCCUACACACUGACAGGGGUAAGUCAAACACAUCACCCCAAGCCAACUCCUCGGGGGAAGAGGGGGGGUGCUGAUCGGGCUCUGCCCGCACCCGGACCUUCACAAACCGUCAAGAAAGGGGUUGCGUUUGUGGUGACGUAGGAGACUUUUCCUUCUGUCCAACGAUGGAAAAAUCAUGGUAUCUCUCUAGGGGAUAUGGUGGUAGUCUGAGAGAAGGUAUGUGUCUGCUCCUGUUGCCAACCAUGCUGGUACUAGCAGCACCUCCAACAGCAAAAAGCCUAGUGUCAUCAAUCCCUGCUAACCAAACCGUCUGGAGGCACGGAGUGAUAGCGUUUAAAUGUCCCGUAGAAUGGUGUCCGACCAAUAGCUGUGAAAUAUUUACAUUACGUCUCAGUCAACCCUCUAUUGGCCGCUGGAUAAAAGUUCCCCCACAGGUCGUUAAGACUGAAUGCAAAUUGAACCACACCUGUUCAGUGAGACUAAGCGAGGAAUACGACCAAAAGCUGGGAAUAUCCUUUCUGGUGUAGUAAGCCUACCAACUGCAAGACUAAUCCUGAUUACUACACUCAAUUUGACUGGACAUAUGCGUGUUUCAUAAGCCAGAUAUUGGAAGAUCUCCCAAAACAUGUACCACCUCAUGACGAUAGAAAUAUUGCAUUAUCUAUAAUGUCUGAAUUUGCUCAAAAAAGAAAUAUUUCAAACUGUUGGAUUUGUCAACAUCUGCCCCUUUCAUCCAAAUCUCCUAUGCUUGCACCAGUACCCUUUACAGAAGCAGACUGGAGCGUUAUGGGAUGGCCUGCCUUAUCUCAACAGUUUGCAGCCAGCAGUGAGGGAUGUUACACUCCCCCGUCGCAUGCUGACUCAUCCACGCAGACUACGCCCAACUAUGUUGGAGACAAAGGGGAGGUGGUGCAAUUCGCAAUGCUUCCUCUGCAGUACACGAUGUUGUAGCAGAUACUGAACGAGGGGUUAAGGAGCUGCACGAAGACCAUGGCUGGAAUCCUUUUGGAGGAAUGAAAUCAAUAACCGGUUUUUGGGGAGCUCCUUUUCUCAAGGGACUAGCUUGGAUAAUAGGAAGCAUGAUACUAAUAGUGAUUAUCAAAAUUCUGAUUGUAACGGUCUUCAAAGUUUGCAUUAGGAAGGUAAUAACCACUUUUGUGUCCGUUAAGAGCACAGACUUUCCAGAUCUAUAUCCUAUACCACCUUGGAUUGCUCCAUACGACGAUGAAGAUGAUGAUGAGCUUGAAGAUUGCAUAUAAACUGCAGAAAUUUGUUAUAUCAGCAAAAUUGCAUGUGUUCCUUAUGUUGCAAAUGUAUGAACGGUUCCCAUGAUGACGAGCUAAUGAAGUGUUGUUUUAAAUCGUUAUGAAUUAACAUCACCGAUGUCGUGCUCCGAGUUUAAACCUUGAUUGUUCAAUACGAUCUGCUUGCUUAGUUAGUAGUUGUUAGUGUUAUUAUUUGUCUUAAAUGACAAAAAGGGAGGAAAUGUCAUGGAAAUUAUUGAAUCUAACUGUGAUCCCGGAAAUGUAACAGAUCCUCCUGUGCUGACAGCUAUGCUCAAAGUUCAGUUGGAUUGACCUGAUGAAACAUCAUUAUAUAAAUUCCACUUAAUGUUUGCAUCUGCCUGAUAUCAGGAAAUGUUAGUUACCUUGAGCCUAAAUGCCCUUGUGACUAUUUGAUGUUUUGCUGAAUGUCUAUACACUCAGGAGAUAGGGGGGCAUCUACCCCUUGGCUUACAAAGUCUGACCACUGGACACGUCCUGCCUACAUGAUAUCGAAGGAUGACGUGAACCCUUGAGCUGUGCAUAAAGCUGGCACAUCUCCUGUCACCCGUUGGCAGAAUCUUGAUACCUGCAGUGGUGUUGGAGAUUCUGUCCCGCUUGGCCAAGUGUUUGCUCAGUAACUCUGUCUGUGUUCAAAUCUAUUCUCUGUAAAUUGUUUGUUGACCAUUAAUUAAAUACUUCGAGAUCAUUGAAUUGA